UGGGGAAUAUUGCACAAUGGGCGCAAGCCUGAUGCAGCCAUGCCGCGUGUGUGAAGAAGGCCUUCGGGUUGUAAAGCACUUUCAGCGAGGAGGAAGGUGGUGAGCUUAAUACGCUCAUCAAUUGACGUUACUCGCAGAAGAAGCACCGGCUAACUCCGUGCCAGCAGCCGCGGUAAUACGGAGGGUGCAAGCGUUAAUCGGAAUUACUGGGCGUAAAGCGCACGCAGGCGGUUUGUUAAGUCAGAUGUGAAAUCCCCGGGCUCAACCUGGGAACUGCAUUUGAAACUGGCAAGCUAGAGUCUCGUAGAGGGGGGUAGAAUUCCAGGUGUAGCGGUGAAAUGCGUAGAGAUCUGGAGGAAUACCGGUGGCGAAGGCGGCCCCCUGGACGAAGACUGACGCUCAGGUGCGAAAGCGUGGGGCAGCAAACAGGAUUAGAUACCCUGGUAGUCCACGCUGUAAACGAUGUCGAUUUUGGAGGUUGUGCCCCUUGAGGCGUGGCUUCCGGAGCUAACGCGUUAAAGUCGACCGCCUGGGGAG
rnacentral:rRNA from 1 species